AAACAAUCUAUUGUCAUAAGAGCACAUAAAUACUUGAAAUCACUAUUGCUGAACAGCAGAGAUGCUGUGGCAGAGACGUUGCUAAACGAUAUAUAAUGAAGUUGAGAUUUGUCAAUGGUUUAGACCCUUUCUCAUUGAAUGUUUCUAAUCUGGAUUAUUCAAUUGAUGGUGUUCCUCCAGUUACAUAUGUGAAUAUUGCUUCGUAUUUGAUUUUCACCCACAAUUUUUAUUCGCAUGUGCAGAUGAAGGCAUAUAAAGGUUUGGAAUUGUAUAAAUAUUUCGAAUCUGGCUUCCUCUUGAAGGUGGGAACAAAGAUUGAGAACAAUUUAUACAUUUUAGCUGGACAGGUCAAGCAUUCACAGAAAGCAAAUGGGAAACCUUUAGAUGUUUGGUGCAUCAUAGCAAAAGAUGGAAGCAUAUGUACAGCUCACUGUACUUUUAUGGCCGGAAACAGUGAAGUUUGUAGUCACGUUGGCGCCAUAUUUGCUGCUGAUUAUGCCAAUACCAAGAAAGCGGUAAUGUCAUGCACAGAUAUAAAAGCUGUGUGACCAAUGCCAUCCAUGACACAGAUGUUCCCAAUUGUACCAGUACAUGAAAUGGAUUGUGAGUUUACAAUUACUAUGGAUUUCCAUCAAGUAUUGGCAGAGUCAAUUGAAAAUAUUUUGAGUUGUUGAACUUGUUUUGUAUGAAAAGCUCUGUUUUGAGUUUUCUUGAGGUAUGUUUUUAUUCAAUAAAUGUGCUGUGUACCAUGAA